rnacentral:lncRNA from 1 species
ACAUGGAAAGUGGUUGUGGAUCAAGUCAAAGUAGGAAUUAGUUUGGAUUUCAAAUUCUAUGAGAUAGAGUUUUAGGAAACCAAAACUCUUUCCUUAUGGCACUAAUUUUAUCUAGAUUUUUUUAAGAUUUUCAUAAAUUUUAUGGUACAUAAUAUGCACCCUUUUCUGGUGGUCCACACACAAAAAGAAAGAGGGGGCACCCAAGAGUUGGGCGCCC